ensembl:lncRNA
GUAUAAUCAUAAGGGAUUUGAUUUAGGUCAUACCUGAAUGGUCUAGUGGUUUCCCCUACUUUCUUCCAUUUAAGUCUGAAUUUCACAAUAAGGAGUUCAUGAUCUAAGCCACAGUCAGCUCCCAGUCUUCUUUUUGCUGACUGUAUAGAGCUUCUGCAUCUUUGGCUGCAAAGAAUAUAAUCAAGCUGAUAUCAGUGUUGACCAUCUGGUGAUGUCCACGUGUAGAGUCUUCUCUUGUGUUGUUGAAAGAGGGUGUUUGCUAAGACCAGUGUGUUCUCUUGGCAAAACUCUACUAGCUUUUGCCCUGCUUCAUUCCAUACUCCAAGGCCAAAUUUGCCUGUUACUCCAGGUGUUUCUUGACUUCCUACUUUUGCAUUCCAGUCCCCUAUAAUGAAAAGGACAUCUUUUUUGGGUGUCAGUUCUAAAAGGUCUUGUAGGUCUUCAUAGAACUGUUCAACUUCAGCUUCUUCAGCAUUACUAGUUGGGGCAUAGGCUUAGAUCACCAUGAUAUUGAAUGGUUUGCCUUGGAAAUGAACAGAGAUCAUUCUGUCAUUUCUGAGAUUGCAUCCAAUCUCUAAAUUAUAUACGACAUACUUUCUUUAGUCAUAUAUAAUUUUAGCGUUUUUGUACCCUCUUGGCCUCAAGGCCUUUCCCAACUUUAAUGAAUCUGAACCAUUUGGUAAUUGCUAAUAUUUACUGGAUGCUAUCCCAAGCACUUCAUGCAUCUUACCAUUUAAAUUUUGCAGGAACUCUUUGUGAUACUAUUAUUACUUACAUUUUUGAGAUGGAGCAAUUGAGACCAUGUCAGUGAACAAUUUGCUGAAGUGGAGGAGUGAGGUUUCAACCCUAACAAUUGGGUGAAGAGAGUCCCCAGUAAGACGCAGAAGCCUUCUUCCCCUCAACCACGAACUUCACCACAGGACUUGAACUGUGAAGAACAAUGAGACAUCACACCACUGAUGGUGGGAAGCAAGAUCAUCUUUAGUGAAGAUCCAGUGUUACAGACCUGGAAGAAACCUCCAUCCUCAAAGACUUGGAAAAGGCUGUCCUGGAGCCUGCGUGGAGGUUACAAAAAUCAUCCCUCUGGUGGUGGCCUGAGCAGAUUACUUCAACCCCAAUGUUGCCCUGAACGUUGCAUUCAAGAUUUGAGAAGAUUAGGACUGCUAAGGUAUGGACUUGUGACUUCUAUCUUUUUUGAAGGCAAAUACAUUUAAAGAUAGUUAAUCAUUUUCACAGCCUUCUCUCCUCCUCAUCUGCUCUUUUCUUUUUCUCUUACCUUUCUCCCUCCCUCCUUUUACGCAAUGAUCUAGUCUUUUGUUACCAGCUUGUGGGAUGUGGUGGGAUGGACAAAAUUAUAAUGGAAGAAAUGGAAGGCUACCCUGUCUCAAUAACAGAGGUGAUCAGAGGGGAGGCAGUCUAAGCAUGAAGAGAAAUUCGUGCAGACAUCUUUGAUAGAAAAAAGAAAUUGAGAUUGUUCCUUAUGUGAUAAGAGACAUGUAAAGAAGUGGUACAUGUGAUAAACUGUGUAUUUCCAUAUUCUAUGUCCACAGGAAACUUUUGGCAAACUGUUGUAUUAUAUCUUAAGAUUUGAGGAUAAUUGUGUUUAUAUAUCUUAGAUGCAUACCUAGGCUAGUGUUAGAAUCUUCUGAGUUGAGUCAGGUGAUCCCGUCUUCUUUUCCAGUUACAAUGAUAAUCAUUCUUUGUGUGUUUGUGUAUGGUAUAUAUGUACAUACACAUACUUACAUGUGUAGGUAUUGUAUAUAUUUUCUCUAUACACACAUACAAUUUGUUGAGUGUUGUAUACUUGUUCUACAUAUGUAUAGGGAUAUAUAUAUAGAUCAUAUAUAUAUGAUGAUCUAUAUAUAUGGAUGAUCUAUAUAUAUGGAGGGCAGUGGGGAGAGAGAGACAGAUGGAGAGAGGAGAAAGAGAGCCCUCCAAAACCACCACUCAUGGCAUGCUUAUGGUGAGUGCAUCAGGCAUUGUACUGUAAGGUUUGAAAAGUCACAAAUACAACUAAUAACAACCAUCUGGAAUAGAGAUUUCUGUUAUGGGAAGCCAGAGAAGAGACAAGUAAAAAUAUUUUUUUAAGGUUGCAUAGCAAGAAGGGGUCAGGGUCCAGACCCUUUCCUAGACUUACUAGAAUUUAAGUCUGUGCUCACCUAUUGUGUAGUACAGUGGGUCUGUAUCAGCCUAGGAGCACAGGGCAUGUCCAAG